rnacentral:rRNA from 1 species
UACGUAGGGGGCUAGCGUUGUCCGGAAUUAUUGGGCGUAAAGAGCUCGUAGGCGGUCUGUCACGUCGGCUGUGAAAACCCGAGGCUCAACCUCGGGCCUGCAGUCGAUACGGGCAAACUAGAGUACUGCAGGGGAGACUGGAAUUCCUGGUGUAGCGGUGAAAUGCGCAGAUAUCAGGAGGAACACCGGUGGCGAAGGCGGGUCUCUGGGCAGUAACUGACGCUGAGGAGCGAAAGCGUGGGGAGCGAACAGG